UUCGAUCUCGAGACACGGCUCGAUGCCGGACUGGUAUCGCGCCAAUUUAAUUGGCCGCGUCAUUAUGCACUCGUCGCCGUGCUCGACACCGAAUCGGAUGGAAGAGCGCGAGAAAGGUUAAAUAGAUCGUGAAUAGAUCGCGAGUAGAUCGACGAACGAACGCUCGUUCUAUUUCCGUGUGCGGCUCACGUAUCAGCGGGGAUUUCGCGUCCGAUUGACACCGUAAUAAGAUCAACGUUGCUCACCACGUCACUCAUUCCGCCUCUCUGGUGGAGAUCGCCUUCUUAUGUUGCGUGCGGAUAUGAGUGUCAAUUGAUUUCGCGGCGCGAUAUCGCGAGGUAAUACGUGUGUACAUAUAACUCCAAUAAUGACUUCCAUCUGCGGCUAAGGAGACCAACCGUUGGUGUGAGAACAUUAAGAGUGUCCCUCGACGAGAUCUCCGAUCUAAGUGGCAUGGCAGCGACAGUGACGCAAAGCUUCUUCCGCGGCCGAUUUGAACAGCACUUUGUCACAAAGGCGAUGCUGUUCGAUGACAGUGAUGCGAGAUGUGCUGUAGAAAGCAUCUUCUUUUCCCGGCAAGAUCCGAGCGAGCGAAAAGCCGAGAAUUCCACUGUGAAAUUUAUAGACGUCGUUGCAUUAAGAGUAAGCAUUGUGCUCGCACAAUGCUUAGUGGUGCGGCGAUGCUUAAUUAAACGUUAUGAGAAAAGGAGCGCGAAAUAUGUCCGCGUAGUCGGAAAAAUAUGUUCACUCGAUAAGCGAUUUCUGAAGUAGAUUGCCAAGUUUCUCAUUAAUCUAUUUGAAAAAGACAAAUAUAACAAAUAUGACAAAUAUCGAUUGCACUGCGGAGCAAUGUUCGCCACGUUACACUUCCAAUUUCUUCACGUUACACUCCGGCUUCGGUCCAGCUAUUUCCUUGGAUUUUAACGACGGUAAAGAUAUCGGCACAAAUUCAAGCGCACUAAAUCUCACACACAUUAGCGAAAUGUCGAUCGGAUUGGCGGUAAUACAAUCGCGAUUAUUCUUUCAUCCUUUGCUACGCGAUUACGUCGUUAAACGAUCCACUACGGUCCAAGUUGCCUCUCGACGCUUUCACGCUAAUUGUAAGCGAACCACGGAUACCGGAAUUUUACCUCGCUAAAUUUAUGGACGUUGUUACGGGAAAAUUAAAGCGGUCGUGUACGCGUAGCGCAGCGAGUUUAAAGUCGAGAUUAAUUAAACGUAAAAGGAGUCACCGAAGGGGCGACCGCCGGUUCCCCCGCGCGGAAAAUAUUCCGCGAGGUUCGCCACUCUCCACGCCAAUUCUGUAAUUUGCAAUUAACCCAAAUAAAACGGUUAAUCAAAUCGCCGUGCUAUUUUUACGUGGGAAACUCGUACAUUUUUCGCGCUCUCAAUGAAGCGAGAUUAUUCCACACACACGCGCGCGCACACACACACACACACGUGAAAAGAACACGAAAAAUUUUCACAUUCGCGCAAAACGCAAUUUAAGCCUCAUAUGAAAUUCGUUCCGGAUACAACGCGGUCCGGGGCUAGUUUCCGCCGACUUUGCAGAGAGGCGGCUGGGAAGAAACGAAAAGCGGGCUCGAAGGAUGGAUUCGCGUGCCGCUCUGUCGCGCUUUCGAAAGCGCGGCGCAAACCCGCGCAUUUACACCGGCACAAUAUAAGCCAAGCAAGCAUACGCUGGCAUAAUAAACAAAAGGCACGAACGAACGAUGAACCAACACAUCCGCGUGGGCGCGUUCACGUCCGGCCGAGACGAGCGCGAAGGACGACAGGGGCAUUGAAGAUCACGCGGCUUUCGCCAAAAUUAGAUUAUCCUUCCCCUGAUACUUGCGGAAUCUUCCGCAACACUCGCCACGCGGCUGGCUAUGCGAUCUGCAACUCGUGUCAAUUGUAAGAAAGUAAUUACACUGUUUUGUGGCUGAAGCAUUUUUCGCGCAACGUUUAGAAAUAAUAACAUAGAAUCAUACAUAAAGCGUGUAAUUUAAUAGUUGAAAAUGGAAUAUAGUGAGACUAAUUAAUAAUAAUUAUUUGGGAUAAAGUCUGAAGGUUGAUUCCAGUUUAAAAUCUGGAAAAACAUUCUGUAUAUGCGUUGACACUGUCAGAUAUUGUUGUCCUCCUGCAAAUUAAAUAUUCACACCAACAAUCACGAUUGGCUCUCAUUAGUCUAUUUUUCUCAUUUGAUUUCAUUGUAAGAGAAUCGUGAUAAAACCGCGGAUGCUUCGAUUAUCAAGAACGGGAUUUCAAAAACUAGGACAAAAUUAAGGGAUAAAAUUCCUCUCUCGUUUUACGAUCGUCUAGGAUCGGCAUUGUUCAUCGUAGUAACCCAAUUAAUCAAUCUCAUUCGUGUAGCUUGAUAGUUCGAGAAUAUCUUUCACAAUGUGAAUCGCGCGAUAUUUCAUUCUCAACACCGUAUCUGCUCGGAUAGCGAUAUCGUGAGGAGUUUGCGAAUUAACAUGAAUUCAGAAAUCGAAUAUUGCGCGAGUUUCUACUUGGAAGUUGAAUUUUGACUAAAACUACUACUUCAUACCCCCCGAUUGCCCUCGGCGAAAGCAAGAUAAACGGCAUAUUCGUGCCGGAUAGCGUGGAGGACGUGCAAACUCGCGUGGAGCAGACGUGAUUCAUACUGCCGCAGUGAGUCACUGUAGAUGCAAACUCACGUGAAUGUAUCUAUAAUAAGAUUCUACUGUAAGUUUCUCCACACCGCAUUCUCUCUUCGUUGCGAAUUAUCGGCAGAGAGGAACAUUUACCAUGUGCCGCUGGUGGCUGUCGCAAUAUUUCUUCUUCGUGAAAGGAUAAGAAUUGUCUUAACGAGAGGGAUAAGAAUGACCGGCCGAAACGUUAACAUCGUUAUAUCAAUGUCACAUUUCAAGCAACUUCUUCGCAGGGCUUUUCAGCUCGUGUAAAAUAUAGUACCGGUGAUUAAAUUGGUAUUCAUCCCGAGCUAUGCAAUCAUGAUUUUCAUAUGCCGCGCGACUCGCCGCAUCGAUUGGGGCAUGCUAUAAUAACCCAGAGAAACUUCACAUUUUCUCGAGGAAAACGAUGGGUAUAAUGGUUAUAUUCGGUUUGUAAUAU